rnacentral:rRNA from 1 species
GUGGAUUAGAUACCCCAGUAGUCCACGCCGUAAACGAUGUCAACUAGCCGUUGGAAUCCUUGAGAUUUUAGUGGCGCAGCUAACGCAUUAAGUUGACCGCCUGGGGAGUACGGCCGCAAGGUUAAAACUCAAAUGAAUUGACGGGGGCCCGCACAAGCGGUGGAGCAUGUGGUUUAAUUCGAAGCAACGCGAAGAACCUUACCAGGCCUUGACAUGCAGAGAACUUUCCAGAGAUGGAUUGGUGCCUUCGGGAACUCUGACACAGGUGCUGCACGGCCGUCGACAACU